UACGAAGGGGGCUAGCGUUGUUCGGAAUCACUGGGCGUAAAGGGCGCGUAGGCGGCCAAUCAAGUCGGGGGUGAAAGCCUGUGGCUUAACCACAGAAUUGCCUUCGAUACUGUUUGGCUUGAGACCGGAAGAGGUCAGUGGAACUGCGAGUGUAGAGGUGAAAUUCGUAGAUAUUCGCAAGAACACCAGUGGCGAAGGCGGCUGACUGGUCCGGAUCUGACGCUGAGGCGCGAAAGCGUGGGGAGCAAACAGG
rnacentral:rRNA from 1 species